ensembl:misc_RNA
UUGACAGCCCUGGAGACUGAUGUCCUAAUUAUCCUCAGAACGGGUGCACAGGGGCAUUUUCCUGCCAAUGUGACUCAGUAUAGUGGUGGAGAGCGCAAUUAUCAAAUUAGAUGAUAGUUCACUAUAAAGCCUUCUCAAACUGCAGUCAUU